rnacentral:rRNA from 1 species
UGGGGAAUAUUGCACAAUGGGCGAAAGCCUGAUGCAGCGACGCCGCGUGAGGGACGACGGCCUUCGGGUUGUAAACCUCUUUCAGCAGGGAAGAAGCGAAAGUGACGGUACCUGCAGAAGAAGCGCCGGCUAACUACGUGCCAGCAGCCGCGGUAAUACGUAGGGCGCAAGCGUUGUCCGGAAUUAUUGGGCGUAAAGAGCUCGUAGGCGGUCUGUCGCGUCUGGUGUGAAAACUCGAGGCUCAACCUCGAGCUUGCAUCGGGUACGGGCAGACUAGAGUGCGGUAGGGGAGACUGGAAUUCCUGGUGUAGCGGUGAAAUGCGCAGAUAUCAGGAGGAACACCGGUGGCGAAGGCGGGUCUCUGGGCCGUAACUGACGCUGAGGCGCGAAAGCCAGGGGAGCAAA